rnacentral:snoRNA from 1 species
AAGUGUGAUGAUGAAUGAUUAAUUUCCCUAUUGGUUUGACUGGCCAACAUGAUGGCCCAAAUGCAGAACAGUCUGAUCAUCA